rnacentral:rRNA from 1 species
UACGUAGGGUGCGAGCGUUAAUCGGAAUUACUGGGCGUAAAGCGUGCGCAGGCGGCUAUGCAAGACAGGUGUGAAAUCCCCGGGCUCAACCUGGGAACUGCACUUGUGACUGCAUGGCUAGAGUGCGUCAGAGGGAGGUGGAAUUCCGCGUGUAGCAGUGAAAUGCGUAGAGAUGCGGAGGAACACCGAUGGCGAAGGCAGCCUCCUGGGAUGACACUGACGCUCAUGCACGAAAGCGUGGGGAGCAAACAGGAUUAGAAACCCCCGUAGUCC